UUAGGCCCUUUUCUCAGAGCAGAUAAAUACCAGACAGGACACAUUCAUUCUUUCAUCUGUACAGUUGCCAGCGCUUCGUUUCUGUGACCAGACAUCAUCCAUUUGACUCUUCAGGUCUCCACCUACGAUCUCAACUGCUUUGAUGGUGAAGAAGAUGGCGUAGUCUUUUUCUUUUGCUGUGCUCCUGUUCGUGCUGUGUUUUCUGGGGAUAAGUACAGAAGCAGCAGGAACAAGUGCAGGUUUCUGUAAGAGGUGUCCUCCUGGCUGGAGUCAGGAUGGAAAUCGUUGUUUCAGGUUCAUCUUCAAACUAACAGACUGGGCUGAUGCAGAGGUAACAACUCGUAGCUCACAAUAUAUUUCUGGUGCUGAAUGUCCCACAAAUGUGGUUCUGACCUAUUGAAUGAGUUCUCAUGUUGAGACAUGAUGGACUGUAGACUUGGACAUGUGUGUCUUCAAUCACACCUGCAGAAGUCAUCUGAUAAAUGGGGGAAUGAACUUUGACAAAUUUUGUCAGGAUUUUUGUGAAAUUUGGUGGUGAGUCAGAUCUGCCUCAAAAUGUUUCCUUUCAGGUUUAUGAAUGUUGGACACAUGGCUCAGAUUUAAGUUAGUAGAGAACUAAAACAGCUAACUGACAGAGGAUCUUUAUGAAACCAUCA